UUGCACUGUCUUUGAACCUUUUUGGUCUCAUCUGUGACCUCUUAGGCCAAGCUACAGUGCUAAAGCAAAGGCUUGUUCAUAACUGGAGCCCCCUGGCAACACCCCCAGGUUGCUCUUUUAAAAACAAGUCACAGCU
ensembl:snoRNA SNORA50A small nucleolar RNA, H/ACA box 50A